rnacentral:rRNA from 1 species
GACGAACGCUGGCGGCGUGCUUAACACAUGCAAGUCGAACGGACAGGCCCUGCUUUUGUGGGGUGCUCGAGUGGCGAACGGGUGUGUAACACGUGAGUAACAUGCCCUUGACUUUGGGAUAACUUCAGGAAACUGGGGCUCAUACCGGAUAGGAGCUCCUGCUGCAUGGGGGGGGUUGGAAAGUUUCGGCCGUUGGGGAUGGACUCGCGGCUUAUCAGCUUGUUGGUGGGGUAGUGGCUUACCAAGGCUUUGACGGGUAGCCGGCCUGGGAGGGUGGCCGGCCACAAGGCGACUGAGGUACGGCGCAGACUCCUAUGUGAGGCAGCAGUGGGGAAUAUUGCACAAUGGGCGGAAGCCUGAUGCAGCAACGUCCCGUGCGUGAUGACGGCCUUCUGGUUGUAAACCGCUUUCGACUGUGACGAAGCGGUAGUGACGGUAACGGGUAAAGAAGCACCGGCUAACUACGUG